ensembl:lncRNA
AACAGCUCCAAGCUGCCACUUUGGCGGUGUAUUCUCCAGUAAAGUCAGGUCUCCACCUGCUUUGUGACGUCAUGGCUGCUACUUAAAACGCCUCUGUCACCCUCAAAAAUAAAAUAGCCCGUUAUUUAACCAGCAAAAGCCAGGUUAAUCAAGAACAGCCAGAAGAACUGCAAUUCAGGAUAUGCCAGCUACAGCAGGGCAUAGGCAGUCCAGAGAACAAGGAAGAGGUAUUUGUUUUUAAUAGGAAAAGGAGGGACUUGAGGAGAGCUGAAAUAACCAGAGUCCAUUGGAGGAGACUGAGAACCCAAAGUAUGGAGGCUUCUUAUUGGUUGGACUGCCAGGCUCUGAUUGGCUGUCAUCUGGCAGACAAAACUUUUCUUCUUCCCGCUGGAUAGUGAAGUAAGCAACACCUUCCUGCAGGAGAGGUAAGAACAAGAACAAGCAAUGGCGCUGGUCACGUAGCAAGGAAAUACCUGUGGAUUCCAACUGUAUGUGAAGAAUUCAAGGAUCACAAAUAAUAAAUUAACUCCCAUUGAUCCCAAGUGGUUGAAGAAAGAAGCAGACCAGUUCAUCAUUUCAUCAGCUCUGUGAUUCUUGCUCUCAUGAUUCGGGCUCAUGUCUGGCUCCUCCAAACAUCCUAUGAGCCCCUGGAGGGUAAAUUCCUCAUGACUCUUUCCAGUGGGGACUCUGUGCCUGACAUUAAGAGACAUUCAAUUAAAUGUGUACUAAAAUGUAAUUUUUAACAUCUUUUCCACGCAUUGCAAUAAUGCUAUUCAUGUUUAAAUUUUUCAAAAUAUUAUUUAAUCUUUGUACAGUCGUUAUUCCAAGAUAUUAAACUUUCUCUGUAU